rnacentral:snRNA from 1 species
AGUGAGGAUUCGUCCGAGAUCGUGUUUUUGCUAGUUGAAAACUAUAACUAUGACCACUCCUAGUUGGCUUCGGCUGGCUAGGGAAUUUUUGUAACCCUUCUUC